CAGAGCUUGAUGACAACGGACGUCUCCAAGGGGUUUCUUUGCAAUGUGACAGUCGUCAAAACAUGGAAGCAUACGCAAACGAUGAUACGGAUUUGUUGGCAGCCGUUUAUCAGUUAUCAAACACUACAAAACUAUCACGGAGAAUGAUAAAGUGACCAUGUGAUCACGGAGAAUGACAAAGUGACCAUGUGCAAUUCAUAAACAAGACCGUGUGAUAUUGGUGGAGGGACAUAUUAACAUACUUGAUUAGACAUAAUAGUGUACAGACCUUUAUUAUUCUAUUGGUGAUUGGAUAUUUAUUACUUUGAACUAAAUGUGUGCGCCAUUGGAAGGACAUAUACAGAUACAUAUCCAUGCACUGACAAUCGAUUGAUAAAACCUUUUUCCCACGUUUGAUAACCUUAUCUUUCUUUACGGGAUUCCAUUUUCACUCGCCGAAGAAACUCUAACUACAAAUAUCAAGGUUAAAGUCACUGCAUGCGGAAAAGAUGUGGCCGAAAAAGAUUACAAGAUAAUAAUUCAAUAGCAGUAUCUUAUUAAAGAUUUGGAUUACAAAAAGGAUUUUCUCUCAAAAGGAACUUAAUGUGCACGUGUUUUAAAAUAAAACUUAAAGUGAAGAGAAAUGUUUAAAAAUGUACUUUCGAUCAAUAAGCUUUCCGAAAGGGCUCUUUUGUUUGAAUCUAUUUUCUAUGUAUUUUGAGAAUUAGAAUUCUAGUAUAAGACAUUACAGACAUAAAGCAUUAAAAAGCGUUGAGAGACAAGCAGUGGAUUUCACCAGUGGGGAUAAUAUUACAAGCACAGAGGAAGGAAGUAUAAGGAGAGGGGCAUAACUAUACCAGAAGGACUUAUGGACAAAGUUAAUUAACUUUCAACAAUUGAAAACAGAUGUGACUGAAGACUUUACUAUUCUCGAGCAGCUUUCCCGCAAGUUUUAGUAUUAGCUAAAGAGUAGAUAAAUAAGAUUUUAACAAAUUAGUGAUUGUUAAAUAACAAACAUUGUAGACAAUUUGUGCAAAAAACAGCAGCCGAUAUUUCAAAACAGCACUUGUAAAUCCUACCAAUAAAAAGUAAUUAUUUUAAAAAAUAACUUCCAAUUGAAAUAGAUUACCAGACAAUAUCGUGUGUGCCAAGACAAUAGAGAGGUUUAAAACUUCAGAUGCUCUCUCAUCGUUGGACCUUAUUUACCAGGGCCCCUGUUCAGCUGUCAUUGAAACAUUGUACACCCUGAAAAGUAUACCUAUUCAGAUUCAGAUUCUGAAUUUCAGACAUGUAGCAAUUCUAUUUCAUUUUUAUACGAUUGGAAAACAUUUUUCGCGUCGUAUAUUAUUGGUAUGACGUUGUCGUCGUCGUCGUCCGAAGAAACAUUUGGUUUCCGGACAAUAACUUUAGUCAAAGUGAAGGGAUCCUAUUAAAUUUGACCAGAAUGUUCAAUUACACAAAGGGAAGGUUGGGAUUGAUUUGGGGGAUUAUGGUACAAACAGGUUAGAAAUUAGGGGCCAAAAACAAGCAAUUUUGUAGUUUCGGGAAUAUAACUUGUAAGUUUAUGGAUCUCUCUGAUAUUGUACUACAAGGUUCAGAUUACGAUUGAAAGACUGGGUAUGAGUUUGGGGGUAAUUGACCCAAAUGAUGAAGAAUUAGCGGACAAAAAGGGGACAAAUACAAGCAAUUUUGUAGUUUCUCAUAAUAACGUGUGUGUAAGUAUGUGGAUAUCUCUGAGAUAUGGUUCCAUAUCUCAAUGGGAAGACUGGGUAUGAGUUUGGGAUAAUUGCCCAAACGUUCAGAAAUUAGGUGCCCAAAAGGGGCCAAAACCAGCCUUUUUCUAGUUUCCAGACAAUAACUUGUGCUUAGGUGUGGAUUUCUCUGAAAUUAUAUUACAAGGUACCAUACCUUUAAGAGAAGGCUGGGAUUGAGUUUGGGGGUAAUUACUUCAAAGGGGGUCCUAAUUUUUUUUUUUUCAUAUUCUUUUAGUAUUUUUUUCUUUAAAAUUGUCAAUUUUUUUCAUGUGAUAAAAAUAAGCAAAAAUACUGAUUUCACAGGAGAUACACACCAAACAGGAUGUGUAAGUUAUCAUAUAAAGGAUUGCGCAAAAGCAAGAAAUCUUCCAAUAGCAUAUUAUUGCACUGUAGCAUAAUAUUGUGCAAUAGCAAGAGAUCUUCAACUGCACAGUAUUGCACAAUAGCAAGAAACAUCCAAUUGCACAAUAUUGCGCAAAAGCAAGAAAUCUCCAAUUGCACAUGUACAGUAUUGGGCAAUAGCAAGAAAUAUCUAAAAGCACAAAUAUCCGCAAGACUUCCUCAAUUGCACAAUAGCCAAAGAAAUCGUCAGUUGCACAAUAUUGCACAGUAGCAAGAAAUAUCUUAUUGCAAAAUACCAAGAAAUUUUUAAUUGCACAGUAUUGCGCAAUAGCACAGUAUUGUCCAGUCGCAACGAAUAGUAUUGUUGAAUAGCAUAUUAUUGCACAGUAUUGCGCAAUUUCAAGAAAUUUCAAUUGAAAAUAAAGACAAAUACUUUAACCCAUUUCAAAUUUAUAAGAACUUUCACCACAUUUAUUUUGUGUGAGAAACCUAUAUUAUGUCAAAAUUUUUAUCGCAAUCCAAAUUCAGACAGUAUCUAGCUUGAAAAUUGUGUCGAAACUUGCACCAACUGUAUGGUGCGGUCGUAUCAGGCUGCGCUCUGCGGAUCAUUUUAUUUUAAGAAGCAUUUAUAAGGAUUGUUUACUUGUUUAAAUCAUAAUAAAGAUAUAAAUACAAUGAAA